GACGAACGCUGGCGGCGUGCUUAACACAUGCAAGUCGAACGGAAAGGCCCUGCUUUUGUGGGGUGCUCGAGUGGCGAACGGGUGAGUAACACGUGAGUAACCUGCCCUUGACUUUGGGAUAACUUCAGGAAACUGGGGCUAAUACCGGAUAGGAGCUCCUGCUGCAUGGUGGGGGUUGGAAAGUUUCGGCGGUUGGGGAUGGACUCGCGGCUUAUCAGCUUGUUGGUGGGGUAGUGGCUUACCAAGGCUUUGACGGGUAGCCGGCCUGAGAGGGUGACCGGCCACAUUGGGACUGAGAUGCGGCCCAGACUCCUACGGGAGGCAGCAGUGGGGAAUAUUGCACAAUGGGCUGAAGCCUGAUGCAGCAACGCCGCGUGCGGUAUGACGGCCUUCGGGUUGUAAACCGCUUUCGCCUGUGACGAAGCGUGAGUGACGGUAAUGGGUAAAGAAGCACCGGCUAACUACGUG
rnacentral:rRNA from 1 species